rnacentral:lncRNA from 13 species
AUGAUUUUGGAUGACACGCGGUUUGUAAUCCUCCCAAGAUGCUUCUGGAUUUUUCCAUCGGAUUCCGAGGACAGUGACUGGGAUUAUGUUUUGUAUAUUACAAGAUUCCAAGAUGCUUCUGGAUUUUUCCAUCGGAUUCCGAGGACAGUGACUGGGAUUAUGUUUUGUAUAUUACAAGAUUCCAAGAUGUACUCUCCUUCUGGAACGGAAGGAAGUCACCUACAUGAUGUAUAUCCUCUUAUUUUUGUAACCCUGGUUUUCUAUUGCUGACUGACUUCUUGAUUAGUUUCUGGUAUGUUAUUCACAUAAAGGAAGUUACAAGUUACUAAUAAAUAUUUAUAAUGUCAAUUUGUUAUAAUGUCUUUAGUUAUAAUGUCNNNNNNNNNNAAGAAUUUCUCAUACCUUUCUCGGGCAUGUGGAAAAACAUGAGUGUUUAUUAGUGUCAUUACGGUAGGCAUUAGCACUACGGCCAAUCAAUGAUCUGGGUUUAAACGCCAAUCAUGGGAAUCGCCAAUCAGAGACCAGUAUCAAUCGAACAGGAAGAGGGGGUGAAAUUAGGAAGUGGUUUUAAUUGGUGACUGGUGCCUUGGCUGAUUACAUUGGGUAUGGAGGUUGUAUUUGGUGGUGAAAGAUGGGGGUGCUAAAGAUUCAUUGUUUUAAGUGGUGAACAUUUGACAUUGGGGGGAUGACUUGUAUUGUCUGAUUGGCUAAGCUAACGUUUGGUACCUAUUUCUCUCCUCCCAUCAGGCGUAAGGUGAAGACAGAUGGAUGAAAGAGAGAAGAUUGAAAGAGAGGAAGAGGGAAGAGAACAUGUUUCUCAGACUGAGAUAUGAACUUCAGCCACGUUGUGUGUGAUGGCAACAAGAGAAGUGGGCAGAGGACAGAGAACAUAUUCUAUUUAUGUUAUAUUCUAUAUCUUCCCACAAGACGAACCUUCAAAAAUCAAUCAUUUUGAUAACGUCAAAAUAUUGCCAGAAUCGGGAAUGAUGUUUCUGGAAGAUGCAAAUAAGAACUUCGGUAUUAGGAGUGGGUGUGGCUUCGAUUUGAUGAUUGACAAGUGUCAAAUAACGUGACUACGCCAACUGGGAGAAGAAGAGAGGUAGAUGAUUGGAUACUGUAGGACUAUGGGAGUUGCAGUCUUUAUAUAAAGGACUUCUGACUACAAGACUACUCCCAUGAUUUUGGAUGACACGCGGUUUGGAAUCCUCCCAAGAUGCUUCUGGAUUUUUCCAUCGGAUUCCGAGGACAGUGACUGGGAUUAUGUUUUGUAUAUUACAAGAUUCCAAGAUGUACUCUCCUUCUGGAACGGAAGGAAGUCACCUACAUGAUGUAUAUCCUCUUAUUUUUGUAACCCUGGUUUUCUAUUGCUGACUGACUUCUUGAUUAGUUUCUGGUAUGUUAUUCACAUAAAGGAAGUUACAAGUUACUAAUAAAUAUUUAUAAUGUCAAUUUGUUAUAAUGUCUUUAGUUAUAAUGUCUUGAGAGAGAGAGAGAGAGAGAGAGAGAGAGAGAGAGAGAGAGAGAGAGAGAGAGAGAGAGAGAGAGAGAGACCUCUUAUGACCCAUACUCAGACACUUUGAACAUGAAACCCCUGUGAACUAGUAACUGAGUAUAUCUCUGCUCUCACUCAUACAUACCUUCAAUACAGAGAGGAAGGAAGUAGAUAUCAAGACCAACACACUGCUAAUGCCAAAGCAACUCUCAGGUUAUAGAGCAGGGCCUGUAUUCUAAAGCGUCUCAGAGGAAAAGUGCUGAUCUAGGAUCAGGUUCCACCUGUCCAUUGUAAUCUUAUUCAUUAUGAUCUAACAGGCUACACUGAUCCUAGAUCAGCAAUCUUUUCUGAGAAACUUUGUCAACACAGGCCCAGGUAACGGUUUUACUAAGAACACUUCAUAAAUGAAUAAGAUAGUCUUAUUAUUGUACUCUCUCAGUAAGGGAUGAGAUACUGUGUUUAGGAAAAUAGUAAAAAGUCAAUGCUGUUAUUAUUCUGUAACUUUUCAAAGAAUCCCAGAUGCUGACUUAGUUUCAACAUAUAAAUCACUUCAAAGUUCUCACAGAAAGGAAAUAACUUUGAUAAUACAGUGUAUACACUCAUGUAUGACAUGCAGUUUUUACAUCUUAAUCAGUGACACCUUAGUUGAAGUGGUAAUAUGGCAUCUCUUUAGUUCCCACAAUCCACCAGUGUUAUAAGACGCCAUGGACGGACAGACCCGGCUCCAUUGGUUUAGCAAGACUUUUACUUAGUGAAUAAACCAGUGAAAUAGAGGAGGGAUUGUGUGCCUUUGUGGUUUCUCAAAAUGAUAUUCACCCUCUCUGCCAAACCAUAAACUGCUCCCCCAUAAUCCUUUUCCAAACCCAAACUACAGCCCAAAAUGCAACCCUCGGAGCCAGAAGCCUUUCUCUCGCUCUGUCUCUGUGUCAUUAUGACGUUACAGUCUAUGGUGGCGGUAACACGGUAC